CUGAUUAUGAGGCAGAGAAAUGGAUGCCUGGAUCAGGAUCUGGAUGAGAUCGAGCUUGCUAUUGAGGCCGUUAACGCGGAAUCCUCUCGGAACUUAACAGGCUGGUCACUAUACUGGAUAAAGAUAGUGACGAUGUUGUGCUGUAGAUAUUGACUAUGGAUUUCAAUUUGGUGGUAGCUGCUAUUGGAUAUUGUGCACUCAGUACCUGGUUGAGUUUGAGAUUUGACAGGAAUGUAAAUGAAACCUGGUGGUAGAUCAGCAAAGAGUAAUAAUGUUUCCUGAAAAAUUUUCAGAACCGUCUCUUGAGACCUUAGGAAUGAGAAUGAUCAGAGAGAUGUGUUGGACACGAAGAUGGAUGACUUAUGCGUCUUGGAGGAGAUGCGUUUGUGAAUCCGAGACAGCAAUUGGAGUUUCUGGGAUCACUAGAUGGAUGGGGCCUUGCUUAUGAAGAUAUGAACUCACCUGACAGUCAAAAAUGACACACACACACACACACACACAUUCAUUCAAUUUCCAUCAACCAGUCUAUUUCAGUAUUUCUUUUCUCAUCCAUUAAUUAAUAUCAAGUGGGUCAAGAUUUUUUGGGCGGAAACCAGUACACAUCUCUUGCGAUUUGAAUGGUUCCAUAACUACUUGUAUUUCUAUAUAUAUAAUAUAUAUUCUACCUUUCCGGAGCUUUAACUCCAUGUGAAA